UGUGAAGUGCCUGAUUAAAGGAUAAUUUUGAUGAAAUUAAAUAAGUGCCCCCCCUACACCUUUGCAA
rnacentral:tRNA from 1 species